GACUUAACGACUAGACUUCAGUACACCUGUACACGUGUCUUCAAUUUAAUUAAAUCAAGACAGUUCACACUCUCGUCUCCUAGACACAACUACUUACUUACCUUUGUGUUUCCUUUAGUCCUUUGCUUCACUCUUCCACUCAUUAUUUAAUGUCUGUCAGGUCUGGGAGUUCUAUCCGCUUUCUACAAUGUUUUAUAGAGAAAAAAAUUAAAAUCCAAAAUAUUUUUGUCCGCCAUCUUG